CGUGUGUGUCUACUUAGGUAGAGUCUGUUCUUCAGAGAACUGUCUUGCUAGACGUUCUACUUCCGCGGAGAAGAUUUAUCGGGUUUUUGGCAGACUUCUCGUUGCUGAAAAGAACUGUCCUGUUCAGCACUACCUGGGUUGAAGUCUAAAACCGCGAGUACAUCUCCAGCAUUGGGAAAGAAACAAGAAUGUCUCCAUGUUGCAAAGUGGCUGCACGAGUAUAUCACAACAAACAUGGACCUUAAAGAGUGAAGCAAGAGGAAAAUACAGCUACCCAAGAACCGAUGUACAAACACCAUAGUGUGGAUGGAAGUGCCCGCUAUUGUCAUUGCACCAGUUUCGUGAGAAAACAAAUUUACACCAAAGGUCAAACGUGGACUUGACGAAGAAGCCAGCGUGAAGCAAACGUUUUACGCACAGGAAGUUCAGAGAAACUCUGGCGAGUGAACCUGUCAUUGUGAAGCAACACUUGCUCGAGGUAUUGGUAAAAACAAACAAAAAUCAGGUUACGCCCUUGGAAUAAUAUACAGCAGCGGCGACUAGAUAAUAACUACCACACAUCGGUCAAGAUUAAAGGAUGGGGUGUGUCCACUGUCCUUUCGGGCUAUACAGAACACGCAGAACACAAUCACUGAAACGUACAUACAAGAAACAUCAAGAGAGGAGACCGGGAUGGAUCGAAAUCCUUGCCCUUACCUCUGCAGGACUGAAAGAGAAGGACAACAGAGAGGACUAAACAGGUUAUACACAAAUUCAUUCAAUUGACAAAUAUAUUGAUCGCAUCAACUUGGGAACACAAAACGAAGCUUCAAAUCUUAAAGCCCUUUUCACACGAAAGCAAUUUAGCAGGGGUCCCUUGCUUAGUUUUUGAAAGGUUAUGCAAUGUUUACAAAUUGAACUUCGUGUGAAACGAGCUCAAUGUUUGGACUGUCAAAGAUCCCCAGUGGAAUCUUUUCAAAUGUAUCCUCCUUUAUGGACAGUGUUAGUAAUAAUAUUGUUUCCCUUUCACAUACGAGGUGCAUUGUGUAACUAGUAACCAUGUUAAAAUAAUGCAAGGGAGCCUUGCUAAAUUGCUAUCGUCUGAAAGGGCUAAAGACGGCGCAGUGACUGGGGGAUUUCACAAGCGGAGCUCCUACUUAUACAACAUGAGUGAUGACCGUGUGUGUGUACUUGCCAUGUAGAGUUUGUUCUUUAGAGAACCGUCUUGCUAUAUCCUUCUACCGUGGAGUAGAUUUUUUUCUCCUGACGAUGACUAGAGCAAGCUAGUAACGAUCAUAAAUAAGCUUCAAUAGUAGUCCCGGUCGAUUUUGUACCUUCCGGUAGUUAAAAGGCAGGAACAUUCUACUCUGCGGUAUUGUAGAAAAUAGCAAGACCGUUCUCUAAGAAAACAAACUCUACCUAGCAAAGUUAGAUAUAUACAACACAGUAUUUUAGAGUAUGUAAUGUCAAAUAAUAUGAACUUUGACCCUUUUAGGAGCAAUGUCUGGGAGGACCAUCUUUUUUUAUGCCACUUUUUUUUCUUCUUCUUUUUUCUUUUUUAUGCUUUUGCCCCACCCUGGACGACCUCGGAUUGUUAUAAUAUUGUUUUGUCAGAAGAAAUAAAAUAAAAUAAUAAAUAAAUACGUAUACACAUGGUGUUUACCG